rnacentral:rRNA from 1 species
GACGAACGCUGGCGGCGUGCUUAACACAUGCAAGUCGAACGGUAAGGCUCCAGCUUGCUGGGGUACACGAGUGGCGAACGGGUGAGUAACACGUGGGUGACCUGCCCUGCACUUCGGGAUAAGCCUGGGAAACUGGGUCUAAUACCGGAUAGGACCGCACCGUGAGGGUGUGGUGGAAAGUUUUUUCGGUGUGGGAUGGGCCCGCGGCCUAUCAGCUUGUUGGUGGGGUAAUGGCCUACCAAGGCGGCGACGGGUAGCCGGCCUGAGAGGGUGGACGGCCACAUUGGGACUGAGACACGGCCCAGACUCCUACGGGAGGCAGCAGUGGGGAAUAUUGCACAAUGGGCGGAAGCCUGAUGCAGCGACGCCGCGUGGGGGAUGACGGCCUUCGGGUUGUAAACUCCUUUCACCAUCGACGAAGGGUUUCUGACGGUAGAUGGAGAAGAAGCACCGGCUAACUACGUGCCAGCAGCCGCGGUAAUACGUAGGGUGCGAGCGUUGUCCGGAAUUACUGGGCGUAAAGAGCUCGUAGGUGGUUUGUCGCGUCGUCUGUGAAAUUCCGGGGCUUAACUCCUGGCGUGCAGGCGAUACGGGCAUAACUUGAGUACUGUAGGGGAGACUGGAAUUCCUGGUGUAGCGGUGAAAUGCGCAGAUAUCAGGAGGAACACCGGUGGCGAAGGCGGGUCUCUGGGCAGUAACUGACGCUGAGGAGCGAAAGCAUGGGGAGCGAACAGGAUUAGAUACCCUGGUAGUCCAUGCCGUAAACGGUGGGCGCUAGGUGUGGGUUUCCUUCCACGGGAUCCGUGCCGUAGCUAACGCAUUAAGCGCCCCGCCUGGGGAGUACGGCCGCAAGGCUAAAACUCAAAGGAAUUGACGGGGGCCCGCACAAGCGGCGGAGCAUGUGGAUUAAUUCGAUGCAACGCGAAGAACCUUACCUGGGCUUGACAUAUACAGGAUCGCGCCAGAGAUGGUGUUUCCCUUGUGGCUUGUAUACAGGUGGUGCAUGGUUGUCGUCAGCUCGUGUCGUGAGAUGUUGGGUUAAGUCCCGCAACGAGCGCAACCCUUGUCUUAUGUUGCCAGCACGUUGUGGUGGGGACUCGUAAGAAACUGCCGGGGUUAACUCGGAGGAAGGUGGGGAUGACGUCAAAUCAUCAUGCCCCUUAUGUCCAGGGCUUCACACAUGCUACAAUGGUCGGUACAGUGGGUUGCCAGUCCGUGAGGGCGAGCUAAUCCCGCAAAGCCGGUCUCAGUUCGGAUCGGGGUCUGCAACUCGACCCCGUGAAGUCGGAGUCGCUAGUAAUCGCAGAUCAGCAACGCUGCGGUGAAUACGUUCCCGGGCCU